rnacentral:lncRNA from 1 species
ACCAAGCGCUUGAACUUCACAUACUGUACCUUAUUUAGCCCUGUCUACAACUCUAUAAAGCAAGUUUGUUGCUUCCAUUUGCAGCUGUAUCUUCAGUGCCCAGAAGAGUGCUUGGCAAGUCUCAACACACUUCCUGAAAGAGUGAAGAAUAUUGUUAAUUCUUCCUUCAUUGGCUCAGUGGUCUUGGGCAAGUGUUUUAUAUUCUCUGAGCUUCUGCCUUUCCUUUUAGAUAAGGAGGAAAGAGGGAUAAUCUCUUACAGGAUCAUGGUGGGAAUUAAUGAGAUGAGCAGGGGAAGGGACUCUUGUGAGGCCUCGCUCAUGGAAAGCUCUGGAUAGAUAUUGGUUUCUUUUCACCUCCAGAGGCCAAACUAGCCCUCUGACUUUUUUUUUUUUAAAAGAUUUUAUUUAUUUAUUUGACACAGAGAGAGAGAUCACAAGUAGGCAGGGAGGCAGGCAGAGAGAGAUAGGGGGGAAGCAGGCUCCCUGCCAAGCAGAGAGCGGAUGCGGGGCUCGAUCCCAGGACCCUGAGAUCAUGACCCAAGCCGCAGGCAGAGACUUAACCCACUGAGCCACCCAUGCACCCCACCCCUCUGACUUAAUGCAAUUCUCAAGCAAGUCUAAAUGGAAAGACUAGAGCGACUGCACAGUUUUAAAUACAUUCUCUAACUCUUGUGUUCCUUUCCUGGCAUGCAGAAUCAGACCGAUGUUCCUCUUGAAAAUGUUUUCCCUGCUAUAGUUGGAAAACUCUUAAAUGGAGCCCGCUCUGUAACUUAGAGUGGGAGUAGAGCAGAGUACCGCCACUGGCCAAGCCUUUCAAACAGCGUAACAAAUGAUGUGUGCGUGCGACUGGGGAAAAUGCACACAUUCUCCCUGGGUCUGGCGAACUCAUGUUUGGCCCCCAGGUGCACUUGACCUGUUAACAACAUUUAGACAGAUUUAUCAGCUGUAAACUUUGCACCAUGCAAAAAAAAAAAAAAAAAAAUGCAGACAGAUUUGCCAGCAACAGAGCAAAUCAAACAAAUUAAGUAAAAGGGUUGAUUCCCUCUGCCCCUCAGUGGCCUGAUUGAGGCACAUGGGCUCCAGGCGUCAAAUUCACAGAAAACUGGGGAGUUCCUGGGGGACAGUGUGGGUAUGUGGUGAGAACUUCAGUUAGGGCUGACAAACUCUAGUUUUAAGAGCCUGAGCUGAGUACUAAAGGGAAAGUGCGUCCUUAAUUAACACCAUAAGAAAGAGGGGAAAAAAAAAAAAAGAAAGAAGGCACAUACCAAAAAUUAAAAAGAAAAGAAAAAAAAAGGCAUAUAAAACUUCCCAGAACUUUGUGUGGUUCUCUAUGUAUUUUAUGAGAUCAUCUGCUUGGAAAUGUGUUGUUUGAAAAACUAGAUGGAAUUAGUUUUAAAAAGACCCAGA